UACGUAGGGUGCGAGCGUUGCCCGGAUUUAUUGGGCGUAAAGAGCUCGUAGGCGGUGUGUCACGUCGGCCGUGAAAACCUGCAGCUUAACUGUGGGCGUGCGGUCGAUACGGGCAUCACUGGAGUUCGGCAGGGGAGACUGGAAUUCCUGGUGUAGCGGUGAAAUGCGCAGAUAUCAGGAGGAACACCGGUGGCGAAGGCGGGUCUCUGGGCCGAUACUGACGCUGAGGAGCGAAAGCGUGGGGAGCGAACAGG
rnacentral:rRNA from 1 species